UUUGUGAUUCCUGUGAAAAAAGGAACGUUUUUUGCCAGCAGAAGACUUUCAGAUUGGUUUGCUGCUUUGUUUUUACUACAAAUUCCACUUGUCAGAAGAUGUAUUUAAUUUGAAUUCAGUUGAUAUGAAUAAUAAGGACAUAAUACUAAUAGAAUGUGGUAUUUUCCCGUCCAGUUCUGAAAAUAGGGAAAUUUGAUCCACACAUUUUUCUCUGCCGUUGAAACAAAACAGUGACUGAGUGAUGUACGAAGAAGAAAUUUGGUGUCAAGUGCCAUUCCUUAUUUUAAAAAAAAUCUGGUGAAUCAUAAUUCAUUCCAUGAGAAGCAGAAAUCCAACAGACUGAUCCCUGAGUCAAUGGUGUACUCAAAAUACACAAAGGCUAGAGGACUUGUUCUUCCUGGAACCUCUCUUUGCACCAGCCUGUCUCAUGAAGUUGAAUGCUCAAACAAUAUGAAGAGGGUGAAAAUCUAGCUGACAAUCAAAACAGGAAAUGUGAUCAGGCUCAGCCACACCUUCAUGAACAUAAAGAGCUACUUCAUUCAAGGCCAUGAUAUGUUCUAACAGCUGAUUUAAUGAAAGAGGUUAUUGAACAAUCUCUGAAAACUGUCAAGUAAAGAGUCAGAGCAAUUGUAGAUACAUGCACAGAAAAUGAAGAAAAAACUCUACUGAAACCAUGGCUUAGAUAUCAACAUAAAAUAACUUCUUUUCUCAAGUAUAUCUCUUUCCCAAGUAUUCCAAAAGUGGAUCUUUAUCAAAUUCAAAGUGAAGUAUCACAGGGAGCAUGUGAGAUUGUGAAACAGUCUGCCUACAAAAAUUAAAAGGGAGGAAAACAUAUACAGGUGUACCAAAGAUGGCUGCACACUAUUGUUCUCUAUAUAUUUUCCCUAUGGUUUUCAUGUACAGUAUUCUUUGUGAUUGUUACAUGUAAGUUGGGUGCAGUAGUAGACUUCUCCUAACCUUGUGUAGAAUUUUACAAUUUAAAUUCUGAGGUAAAAUCCUGUUUUUAGUGUUCAUUCAGUUAUAGUAAUGGGCCACUAUCCUUUUUAGCUCACCUGAGCCGAAGGCUCAAGUGAGCUUUUCUGAUCACAUUUUGUCCGUCGUCCGUCCAUCCGUCUAGCUGUCCAGCUGUCCGUCUGUCGGUCUGUAAACUUUUCACAUUUUUGACUUCUUCUCAAGAACCACUGGGCCAAUUUUGACCAAACUUUGUACAAAGCAUCCUUGGGUAAAGGGGAAUUUAAAUUGUUAAAAUAAAUUAAAGGGCCAAGUCCCCUCACAAGGGGAGAUAAUCAAGAAAAGACAAAAAUAGGGUGGUCAUUAAAAAAUCUUCUUCUCAAGAACCACUGGGCCAGAAAAGCUGAAACUUAUGUGGAAGCAUCCUAGGGUAGUGUAGAUUCUAAAUUGUUCAAAUUAUGACCCCCGGGGGAAGGGCGGGGCCACAAUGGGGAAUCAAAGUUUUACAUAGAAAUAUAAAGGAAAAAUCUUUGAAAAUCUUCUUCUCAAGAACCACUGGGCCAGAAAAGCUGAAACUUAUGUGGAAGCAUCCUAGGGUAGUGUAGAUUCUGAAUUGUUCAAAUCAUGACCCCCGGGGGAAGGGCGGGGCCACAAUGGGGAAUCAAAGUUUUACAUAGAAAUAUAUAGGAAAAAUCUUUGAAAAUCUUCUUCUCAAGAACCACUGGGCCAGAAAAGCUUAAACUUAUGUGGAAGCAUCCUAGGGUAGUGUAGAUUCUAAAUUAUUCAAAUCAUGACCCCCGGGGGAAGGGUGGGGCCACAAUGGUGAAUCAAAGUUCUACAUAGAAAUAUAUAGGAAAAAUCUUUGAAAAUCUUCUUCUCAAGAACCACUGGGCCAGAAAAGCUGAAACUUAUGUGGAAGCAUCCUAGGGUAGUGUAGAUUCUAAAUUAUUCAAAUCAUGACCCCCUGGGGAAGGGUGAAUCAAAGUUUUACAUAGAAAUAAAUAGGAAAAAUCUUUGAAAAUCUUCUUCUCAAGAACCACUGGGCCAGAAAAGCUGAAAUGUAUGUGCACAUGGAAGGGUCAUGGGGUAGUGUAGAUUUCAAAAUGUCUAAAUUAUGAUCAGUGGGGUAGGGUGGGGGAUGCAUUAUGUAUUACAAGGCUUGAAAUCUGGUAAAGAACAGAAUGGUCAAAGCUUCUCAGGUGAGCGAUGUGGCCCAUGGGCCUCUUGUUAACGGCUUGAUGUCGAAAUAUCUCUCAGCAUUGAAUGCUUAUCAAAUUGUUUUAACCGAAUAAAAACGUAUCAUAUUUCCAAAACCAGAUUUGUUCUCUUUUUUAAAAAAAAAAACAACCUCUUUUUAGCUCACCUGAGCCAGAGGCUCGAAUGAGCUUUUCUGAUCAAAAUUUGUCUGUCGUUGUCGUCAUCCUAAACUGAUCACAUUUUCAUCUUCUUCUCAAGAACCACUGGGUCAAUUUCCACCAAACUUGCCACAAAAUAUCCUUGAGUGAAGGGGAUUCAAGUUUGUUUAAAUGAAGGGCCAAGCCUUCUACCAAGGGGGAGAUAAUUAUGAAUUAAUGAAAAAUUAAUGGCAUCUUUUAAAAAUCUUUUCAAGAACCAUUAGGCCAGGAAAGAUGAAACUCAUAUGGAAGCAUCCUUAGGUAGUUUAGAUUCAAUUUUCUUUAAAUCAUGACCCCCAGGGUUAGGGUUGGGCUACAAUUGAAGAUCAAAGAUUUACAUAAGAAUAUAUAGGCAAAAUCUUUGAAAAUCUUCUUCUCCAGAACCACUGGGCCAGAAAAGAGGAAACUGGUGUGAAAACAUCCUCAGGUAGUCAGGUAGUGUACCAGUAGAUUCAAGUUUGUUCAAAUCAUGACCCCUCAAUGGACGAUUUAAGUUUUUCACAGGAAUGAAUACACUGGAAAUUUUUAAAACUCUUCUUUUUAAGAACCACAAAGCCAUGAUUGGUCAUAUAUUUAAGUAAGCAUCCUCACGUAGUGUUGAUUCAAGUUUAAUUGUUCAAGUCAUGAACGGGAAGUAGGGGCUGGAUAGGAUGGGCCAUAAUUGGGGAUCAAAGUUUUGCCUAGAAAUAUAAAGGAAUUUUUUUUCCCAAGAACAGAACAGCCAUGUUUAAUCAUAUUGAAAUGGAGGCAUUCUCAGGUAGUACAAAGUCAUACAGGUUCAAAUGAGGGCUCAUAGGGGUAGUGCUGGACCACAAUGGGGAAAGGUCAAAUGAAUGAAUAGGGAAAAAAAUCAUCUGCGCAGAAACAGCAAAGGCAUUUGUUUUAUAGAAGCAUCAUCAGGUAGUUGGUAAUUUAAAAUUCCAGACUCCAACCACCAUGUAAACUUCUCAAUACUGAAAUGAUUUCUGUGUUAUUUCCUAGCCAAUGUGCUCAGGUGAGCGAUGUGG